ensembl:lncRNA
GUGAGAAAACCAUCCCUAGUAUGUCGCUGCACCAGUUGUGCGACGCUCUGUGGGCUGCAGAAAUACAAUGCUUACAUGGCCCUUCCAUGGCGGUUAGCAGACAACAAGGAUGUGCUGGUGUCAGAAGCUUCGCUGGGAUGGUGGUGAGUCCCUCAUCUGGGCUGAGCAGUGGUCCAGACCGAGGCCAGAGGAGCUGCCCUUGUUACAGAGGGCGGGCCCACCUGGAACGCGAGCUGUGCCUGUCCCUGAAGGUCUCUCCAGGCUGUGUCCAGAUGGAAAACCACAGGGGCGCCCCCACCCUGAAGGCCAGUCGUUGGCAGCAAGGACAGGCUCCCGCAGGAUGUCACGAAGAGCAGUGUUAGGGAGGGCACGGGAUCCUCCAGCCUGAAGACCUCCCUGCAAGCACUGACUUGAUGCUCCGAGGAAGGAACCAGGGGCACCUGGUCAGGAUGGAGCCCUGUCCUCCGUGUCCUUGUCUCUCACCAGCGGGGGAUUUGGCCACCUAAAACUCUGCUCUCUCUCCACCUCAUUUUCCCAAGUGCGGUGGGACUACAAGGGGAACGUCUUCACCACUGACAGCUUGGGGUCCUUUGGACCUAUGAUCAGGCCAUCCAGCCAGUGUGAAGAUGGUGUGGGGCAGGAGUCCCUCCCUGAAGAUACACUCUCAGUGGGGAGACCUCAUUGUCAAGGUCAAGAUAAGCCACAGAUGAGGCAGAUACUUCCUCAGACCCUGGCUUGAUUCUAGGACCUGAGCCGUUAGCCCAGGAUCCAGCGACGCAUCUAAGCUUCUCUGGAUCUUGUUCCUGUUGCAGACAGCCUUGUGGGGCGGGGAUGGCUGGGAGACGAGCCCCGAGCACAGGUCUAGUGUUGUGUCCCCAGCUCUGAGGGAAGUCCCCACUUGUGGCUGGAAGGUCACCUGAUCUGCUUGGGGGCAGGUUGAGAUCUUUGUGAAGCUGUCAGUGUACCGCUUAUCUCCCCUCUCCGUUUUGCUAAAAAGAGGCUCCUGCCCCCUUGUAGGGAGAGGAAGAGGAGCAGGGCUUUCUGCUGGCCCCCUCCAGCUGCACCCUAGGGUGUGGAGCUCACGCAGGCAGCCCAUGAUCACUUCAAAGUAGUCAGCCCCUGUGCCAGGCACCCCAGGCUUCCCAGAUGCCCCUCUGGAGCUCUGAGAGGAAGGGAGGUUUGGGAACCUUAAACGGGCUGCCUGUCCCCUCAGCCGCUUCCCUGUGUGCUCACACUGCCCAGACCGGAGCUGGGGGUCUCGUCCCUUCUGUGCUGGUGGCCCGAGGGUGGAGGAGGGCCCGCUGUGACGUCCUCACAGGACCUUGACCCCUAGCCGUGUGAAUUGCAGGUGCUGAGGGAACAGGACAAAGUCUGGUUUAUCUAUGUCUUUGGGUAGAGUCUGAUACUUCUCACCAGUAGAAGCUUCCAAUGUUAUGUAACAUUUUCAUGAAUCCUUCCAUACAUUUAAUAAGAACCAGUGAAAUUUACAGUCACUGGACCUCCGAGCAGGUGCAGUGAGGAGGCCUAGAAACGGGCGGUGUGAAGGGCCCCUGUCACUACCCCCACGAUCCAGUGUGAGGACCCAAAGUAGAUUCUCAGGAAGGCUGAAGAGGCCCCUUCCAGGCUCUGAGCCCCCAGCCCCAAUACCCUAAACCUCUAGCCCCAACCUGAGCCCAGGCAGGGCACAGCACAGGCAUAUUCGGAGAAACAAAUACUUCCUCACCUCCCUGUUCAUGGUCAUGGGGACACUCCUCUUCAAAGGAUAACUGGCCCAGCCCUCUAAAUGGAGCAGAUGGUAUUCUGGAGGCUCGGCCUCUGGAGGAAUGAGGGGUGGGGGGAGGAAGAUUCCAUGCUGGUGAUUGAAACCUCCCCCAGAUCCAGGAGGCAAAGCUGGAGUGGCCAGGGGCUUGGUGGCCGCGGCCCUUUGCUCAUGGAGGCAGCUGAUUCCUAAGAGUGUGAUUUUUGCACACAGCCUGACCUGUCUUGGUUUGGACCAUGGCUCUUUUUGAUCUUUCCCUCUUCUCAGUGGAUGAAGAGCCUAAAAAAGAAUUUCAGUUUGUAUUUACUUUACCCUUGGACAGAACCUGUAGUAGAACCAGGGCUGGGCCCAGGGGUCUCUGCUGACUCUGAGUCUGGUCCCAGAACCUCUUCUCUGGGAGGCAGGAGGCCAUGGGGAGCAGAAGGCGGUUCCCUCCAACACAGGUGUUGACCCCGGAGCCUCACGGUUCUCACCAUUCAUGUCCUUGUCUUAACCUUCCUUGUGCAGAUUUGGGGAUCGUGACCUUGAGGCUGCUCUAGUCUGCAGAUGUGGAUUUGAGGUCCUGUCCUGUUUAGGGAAGGAGGGAGCCUCGUAAUCACAAGAUCUUUGUUUAUUGGUUCUGCCCUGGGCUUGAGUACAUCCUUGAGAAGACUUUUCUCAUUGCAUUAGCUCCACAAGCUACCCCAGUUUUGUACUUUAGCAUCCGAUCCAUGAUUAACUUGUUCCUCAGGUUUUAACACCCACCUUGUCUUGGAAACACCUCUGAUUCUGGUGGGCCUGGCUCUGCACAGAGUCAGACACAUUCUUGGCUCCAUGAUGUGCAUCUUCUGGAUCCCACCCCACCCCCCAAAUUCCAGCUGAGAAGCCCCUGGACAAGAGCUCAAGUAUUUGGAAGGUGCCCUUCAGUCAGUCCGGAGUCAGGCAGGGGCGUGUUGUUCCCAGGACCCUCUUCUCAUCCCCUGUCCUGCACCAGGCUCUCUUCCUCCUGAGGCGGGAGUGCUGAGUCCUGCUUCUCUUCUUUGAUCCACUCCUGCUGAGGGUCUCCUGGGGUCUCUCUCUCUCAAAUUUGUGAUAGAUUCUUGUCCUGUUUGCUGUCCUCCCCACACAUAGGCACCUCUGGGAGCCUGGAGCAAUAUGAGGGUCCCUGUCCUGUCCAUGUGACCCAUUUAAGUGUUGGAAUAACUGAGAUGGGGACAUGUUUGUGAGAACGUGGACCCACAGAGAGUGUGGGGUCAGAGUGGAAUGUCUGCUUCCGCGGUUGCUCUGACACUCUCAGAGCAGAGAUCUGCUGUAAGUCACCAGACAGCGACCCUCGAGAGAAGGCUGGUGCAGUUGCCUGCAGGAGACGGGAGCUGCCAGGUGCGUCCUUGCUAAUGGCAUGGACAGCUCACCCAGCAGGGACCCAGGUCCCCCAUCUCUGUCUCCAUGACCCCCUUCAUCCCUCCCCCAAGCCUGGCUUCCCAGCCCCUUCCCAGUGUUUCUCCCAUUGGUGUCAAGGCCAGCCUGCUCCAGAACACCGUGGUCUAGACGGGAAGGGGGACGCCUGAGUCACGGAGAAGGAUCAGCUUUGCUCAGAGAAGGCUGAUCCUGUGCUGCCCUGGGGUCUCUCGGGGUCUCUCCAGGUAGGGAAGCUCUGGCCUAGGUCCAGUGCUGAAGGCAGGAGCAGGGGCUCUGUCAGGAGGCUUCGGGACGCGGGGCAUUUGGAAGGUAGCCCCCAUCCCCACUGUUGUGCCCAGGGACCCAGCCUGUUCCCCUGGAGUCAGGAUCUAAUGCUUCCUGAGAAUUCCCACUGACUCCAGUGUUGGUUUGAAAUAGAGGCAACAAGAGAAGGAAAACAAGCGCCGCUGAAUUUUGGGUCCUGCCCAGAUCCCACCACUCACUCAGGCUGUGGAUAUUUCCCACGUGUCAGAAAAGGUAGCUGUUGUUGAAUUGAGUAAUGAGACAGGAAGAGCCCCACCCCACAGAAAAAUGAAGAGAAGAACCCUGCACCCCAGUGUGGUUGAAGGCAGAGGACUGCACACAGCCCCGCCUUGUCUGAGGCUCACCUCUGCUCAGGCGUGAGGCUUAGAGAAUGUGUCCCUGAGCGGGCCCAGGACCUCCUCUCAGAGCUGUGGGACGGGCACAGGCGGUUAUUGACUUGAGCGGAGGGGGCAGAGGGACCCUGAUGGGAAGGCUACUCUGCCGCCAUCUCGCCUGUCAGCCCCCACCCCUCCUGGCCUCUUGGCUCAUCUGCCUGCUCUGUGGUUUCCUCUUUCCCACCUGCCAUCUUUCACUAUAAGUAUGCGCCCCACACACACCUCGUGCAGUUUCUCCUGAGCCCACUGGAAGUCCAAUAUUAGGUGGUUCCCCUUUCCUCUAUGGAGGUUGAAUAACUUUCAGAAUUUUUCCUAUUCCCAUGACGAUAGUAACAAAACACACCUUUGGAAAAUGCAAUCCAGGGACCCAGUGCCACUGUCUUCAGAGCACAGGGUGACAGAUGUUCACACUGAACACACUUGGAAGCCACCAGCCGUGUCACAGACUGGUUUUCCCCAACCCUGGUUGCCUCCUUGGUGUUCCCUGCAGCCACUUGUCACUAGGCCCAGCUCUCUGAGCCUCCGCAGGUGACCUCUCUUGACCUCUAGCAGCACUGGUUAUCCCCAGAGGCACAGUUUUAUGCCUUUCUUGUGUUGUCAUUUUCCCUUCACAUUAACCCUCUAAGACCAAUGUGAUGGUGGUUCCCACACUACAGAGGAGGAUAGGAGAGAACUCAGGGCGAUGACUUGGGACAAGGUGGGUGAGGGUCCAACAGGGACCCCACCACAGUGCCAAUUUCUUCACCUACUAACUCUGCUGGGGAACGUAGCCUGGCAGCCUGGACACCAGGCCUGUUCAGUGCAGGAGAGGCGCUGAAAUCCGGCAGCGACCUGCAGCAGUCCUGGGGGUGGUUCACACACACUUUUGAGCUCUCUCCUCUCUGGGUGGUUUGGAUUCUUGGCAGGUAUGAGGCUCUGAGCAAGGAAGGGAGUUGCCUAAGCCCACUGCGGCCAGGUGGCACAGUCAGAUUUGAGUCCAGGCCAGGUCAGCGACCAUUGUUUUCUUUUCCAUUUGAUGAAGGAAAGCAGGAAAUGUGGCCAGGUUGGGUUACAUGAGUCUCAUCACCUCCUUCCGGAAGUGUUGCAUCUGUACGUGGUUGGGAUGAAUUUGAAUGAAGUCACAGAGGAAGCUGUGUCUCUCUGCAUAUUAGAUGCUCUCUGAACCCUGUAAUCCUUCACCUUUGCUUAUCCCUUUUGGAGGAAAUGGAAAGGUUACCUGUGAUAUGUUUAUUAUUAUUUGAAUUACUAUAUACAUAUGCACUACAGUUGUAAAAUACUAUGUAUAUUAGUUAUAUGCUAAUAAAAAUGUUAAGGUGAUCUGCAAUAAAACACU